rnacentral:rRNA from 1 species
AGAACUUAGCAGAGAUGCUUUGGUGCCUUCGGGGAACUCUGAGACAGGUGCUGCAUGGCUGUCGUCAGCUCGUGUUGUGAAAUGUUGGGUUAAGUCCCGCAACGAGCGCAACCCUUAUCCUUUGUUGCCAGCGGCUCGGCCGGGAACUCAAAGGAGACUGCCGGUGAUAAACCGGAGGAAGGUGGGGAUGACGUCAAGUCAUCAUGGCCCUUACGGCCAGGGCUACACACGUGCUGCAAUGGCGCAUACAAAGAGAAGCGACCUCGCGAGAGCAAGCGGACCUCAUAAAGUGCGUCGUAGUCCGGAUUGGAGUCUGCAACUCGACUCCAUGAAGUCGGAAUCGCUAGUAAUCGUAGAUCAGAAUGCUACGGUGAAUACGUUCCCGGGCCUUGUACACACCGCCCGUCACACCAUGGGAGUGGGUUGCAAAAGAAGUAGGUAGCUUAACCUUCGGGAGGGCGCUUACCACUUUGUGAUUCAUGACUGGGGUGAAGUCGUAACAAGGUAAGCGUAGCGAG